rnacentral:lncRNA from 1 species
UGUUGUCGCCGGUAAGUCUAGCCCCAAAAUCACUGGCCGUAACCUUCGCGUCGCUGUCAUCGGUGGUGGACCCGCAGGAGGCGCAGCUGCUGAAACCCUUGCGAAAGGCGGAAUUGAGACGAUUCUGAUCGAACGCAAAAUGGACAACGCUAAACCAUGCGGCGGCGCAAUCCCACUCUGCAUGGUCGGAGAAUUUGACUUGCCCUUAGAUAUCAUCGACCGCCGUGUCACCAAGAUGAAGAUGAUCUCCCCGUCGAAUGUCGCCGUCGACAUCGGUCGAACCCUCAAACCUCACGAGUACAUCGGCAUGGUCCGCCGCGAAGUCCUCGACGCUUACCUCCGUGACCGCGCCGCCGCGGCUGGGGCAACAGUAAUCAACGGUCUUUUCUUCAAAAUGGACAAACCAACCGACAAAUACGCACCUUACGUCCUCCAUUACAACGCGUAUGACGGCAAAGCAGGAUCCGCCGGAAAGAGAGAGACUAUCGAGGUCGAUGCAGUAAUCGGAGCCGACGGU